AGGGGCGCCUGGGUGGCUCAGCAUGGUAGAGCCUGAGACUCUUGAGCUCGGGUUGUGAGUUCGGGCCCCAUGUUGGGCAUGGAGAUUACUUAAAAACAACAAAACGAAAUAUUAAAAAAAAUU